GUAGCUUGUAUAUUUCGUAAAAAUCAUUUUAACUGUUCAACGUGUUGCAUCAAUAUUCAGUGUACAAACGCAUCACAGGCAAACAUUUCACGGACAAAACACUGAAGUUCUUAAACAACAACAUCGCAUCACAAACUCUGGGGUUGAACAAUCUCGACGGAUCAACAUGUCUUCCAACACAAAUGUGAAACAUACAUUUUGGUACUUCUUUCAACGAUUCAAGUCCGUUUUUUCCCCCAGUGCUUGACAAUAUCACACCGCACAAGAAAUCAGUGUAGUACCUUUUCCACGAUCCAACCAAACAUUUGAAUGCCGAGCAUAGCUGGCAUGAGUUGGGUGGAGUGGAAGCGAGUGGCUUUAAGUGUGUCUGAUCUGUGACCCCCGGGUGUCGUCACAGAGAUGUUAACCUCCAUCCAUUGGGCUAACAAACAAAGGUAAUCCAGGCAAGGCCCCUGCUUGAUACAGAGGGUUAAGAGCAGCAACAACCACCACAAUAACAACACACCUCAACUGAGUCAACGCCAACCUCGGAGGUUUGGGGGGGGGGGGGAAAGAGGUUGGAAGAAGGAGAAGUCUGGCCAAGGGUGUUUGAGGUCCAAAACCAUGCUGCAAAAUUGACUGAAUUAUCAAGAUGAAGAAAGAUUUGUCAAUUGUGUUCUCACAGGACCUGCAAAUCAAACAAACAGUGUUAGCAUUGACGCAAGGUGUCAGUCGGCGGGAUCCAACCUAUUACGGAGAGAAGGAGUCAACUAUGGUUAUUCAGCCGUGGUUCUGCAAAACACAAAGCGCUUCUGGAUCCCAUCCAGAACACCUGAGAAGAAUAAGAAAUGUUAGUCGUUCGAAGAGCUUUUAAACUUCAGGUUUAACAGGUUUUGGCCACGAUAACAUUUUAAGCAGCAUAGCAGUUCACUGGAUGUUCCAGGGCAAAAACCAUAGACAUUUCAAAUAAAAUAACCAAUAGCAAAAACAAUAAGACAAUAUGAGCAGAUCGGUCAAUCACUAAGACACUAUGUAACAUCUUGUUUAAAAUCUAAAUUAGUGCAGCUUUUAAAAAAAUCAUCAACAUUUAAAACCGCUAAAGAGGAGUGCUCCAAACCUGGACAUAAAAAUCAUUAUGUUCAUCAUAAAGUUCAUGCAAGUACAUUGGCAGUAAAAACCUUAGAAAGAAGGUACAAAUAGGUCCAAUAUGAACCUGUUCUCCGUUACCAGACAUAACUUAUGUCGUAUACUAAUGUGACUGAAAUGGCAUAGCCGAUACUUUCAAAAAUCCAUAGGAUUCAGAACUAAAACUCAAUACAGUUAGAAAAAGCAAACAAAAGGAACAAAACAAAACUAGGUCAGUAGUCAAAGUGAAACCACGAAAGGGGAACAAUGACAAACAAAACCACUUAAAAACUGUACCCUUC
rnacentral:lncRNA from 1 species